AUCAGUGUAUGAAUGUGUGUGACAUGUCAUGUAGUGUGAAGCGCUUUGAUUGGUCGGAAGACUAGAAAAGCGCUAUAUAAAAGCAAGUCCAAGUCCAUUACAUAUGUUCAAGUAGAAAGCCAAAAUACAAGAGCUUCAUAUUUCCCCUUUAAGAUAAAGUGUUACAUCGCUGCACAAUUAAAUUUAAAGAAACGGUCCAGUACACUAUCAUUUUGCCAAAGUAUGGCAUAAUUGAAUUGUCAUUACGAAACAUUAUUGUUAUUACAGUUCCGGGCGACAGUCUGUAAUCAUUCCCAUAACCUCUAACACAGGUCCUGAUGCCAGAAUAUCUCUUAAUCCUUAUCCUAAGUCAAACCCUAACCCUUAAGCCUGAGUCCUAAUUCUAAAAUGACCUUCACACAACCAAAUCUUGAUCUCAAACUUUAACUAGUAAAAGUGAGGAAAAGCUAAAUGAUGUCACUCUGUUGAAUAUCAUCACUUGUGUAUCCAUGUGAGGACACUUUUCUACAUAAGUAUAAGGAGAUAUAACCAUCAGCGCACACACACACACAGACAGGCAGACAGGAAGACCGUUUCUGAUCAGCCAUGAAGGGUGUGUUGGAGUUGUAGCUCGGAGCACUGCCUGUUCUAACUCCACUCUGCCGUCUCUCCACUUUGAAGUGUGAAGUCAGUAAAAACUUAUUUUCGCCAGAGGAGAAGUUCGCUGGGCACAAUUUGGGCUGAAAAUAAAUAAAGCUGUUUGUUUUCCACCUAAA